CCUGAGCCGAGGGGCGGGUGUGUGUGUCUGUGUGGAGAUUGAAGGAAAUGAGACAACCUUUUCCUCCCACGGACUCAGUCUCCUCUGGAGUGUGCAGGGCUCGGGGAGUCCCAAGACCGAGUUCACGCGUUCCCAGCUCAGCCCGACUGGGAGAGACGCCCCAAAUUGCUCUCUCUGGGGUGCACGGGUGCCGCAGUCACAGGGCACAGUCCCAUUUGUCGCACCCCUCCCUGGGUGAUCUGACCCCCCUCCCCGACUCAGUCCCCGGAAGUGUGCGCCUGCGGUCCCAGAGAAGGUAAGCUGCUCCCUCGAAGCGCGCUCAGGGUGCAGACACCCCAGUUCUACUGAGCGGGAACUCUUCAGCGCUCUUAGGAUCGGAAACCUCGGCUUUGUUCCGGAACCCCCGUCCAGGUCACUCAGAAGGGCUGUGGCCUGAGGGAGCAUACUUCAGGGGAUCUCUGUCCUGUUUGAAGAGGGAUAAUCACAAGGACUGGGGCCCAGCAUGACCUCCAACUUUCGGUACAACUGAGGGUGACCUUGAACUUCAGACCCUCCUGCCUCUGGGAUUCCAGGUGUGUUUACCAAGCCUGGUAUGUGGUUUAUGCUUGGUAAACACUCCACCUAUGGAACCACACCACUAGGUCCAGAUAGUGCUUUUCAAGUGUGCUGUGCAUUCUAAACCCUUGUAGAAGCAGUGAUUUCUCUGUCUAGCCCCAUCCUACUGUCACUUUCUAAUAGUCACUCAGAGGCUUGUAUUAAACUCUUGGCCAAUAACUCAGGCUUACUACUAUCUAUCUCUUACAUUUAAAUUAACCCAUAUGUUUGUCUAUCUUUUGCCACAUGACUCAUGACAUUUUACCAGUACCCUAACACAUCUUCUUCCCUCAGCAGCUGGCUUGCCCCUGACUCUGCCCUUCUUUAUCCCAGCAUUCUUAGUUUGGCUUUCUCACCUAACUCAAUCGUGUUCACCUACUGGCCAGUCCAGCUUGUUUAUUAAACCAAUCAGAGCAUAAUUUACAUAGUGUACAGGAAUAUCCCACAGCACCCUUGUAGUAAUCUUAAUUAUGAGCAAAGAAAAUCCAUCAGGAAGGGGAUUGCUGUAGAGUCUUUACUUCAGAGUACAACCGGCACCAAGGAGAACUCCUAUUAUUGUGCCUGUUUUACAGCUGAGUAAACUGAGGCACACAGGUGAUGAGUGACUUCUCCAUACAACUCUCCAUGACAGACCCAGGAUUUUCACCCAGCUUGUCAGGAUCCACGCCUGCGUCAAACUGCUCUGAGAGCAGGUCUUGCUAGGAUACCACACCGAGCUGCAGGAGAGGAAAAGUAAGACUCUGUGAAGGCAGAAUUGGAAGGGGACUUGCAGAGAGCAGAGGACACAGGAGACUGCAGUGUGGGACAGAAGUUUUUCCAGAAAGGAGGGGCCGGCUGCCCAGGAUCAGGUCAAGGCCACACAGGGUGAAGCGUCCUUUGACUAGGGGAUUAGAAGACCUUUGAGUGCUGAGCUGGUGGGUGGGGUAGUGAGAAGGCUGGGGUGCUGAACAAGUGGAAGGUGCGGGAGUGCAGCUGAGCUGCACAGUUCUUGACAGAGCUCACCUGGAGGUCAGAACAGAGAGAAGGGGGGUGAGUUCCAGGAAGCCAGGAAGCUCCAGCACUUAGGGGAGAAUCCCUAGGAAUGGAGCGGGUGUGGGAAAGCCUUCAGGUCUAGCUCAGCUUAUGUUCGCCAGCUGAGGAUCCACACUGGAGAGGAGGUUUUGAAUAUAAUGGAUGUACGCAAAAAUUCUCUCAUGGUUUCUGCUGAAUUAAAUAUCAGAGAAUCCACAUGAGAGAACCAUAUCCCAUCUCCCGGGGUGAGCAUCUCUUUUCUCACUUUCUUUUCCACAAAGGCCUCGUUUUUUUUUUUUUGUCCUACUUUCCGGGCAGCAGCCACAUGCGUGGUGAGAUAAGGAAGUCCUGGAGGGGUCUGCUGCCUGAGACCUGAGUGUGAUAUCCAGAAUCUAUGUGACCAGCACACCAGGGUGCUGCGAGCUUGGAAUCCCAGCAAUGGGGAAGUAGAGACUGAAGCGUGGAUUUCUAGGGCUCUCCAGCCAGGCAGUUUAGCAUACUAGGUGAAUCCCAGGCCAGUGAAAGACCCUGUCCCAGAGAAAAAAAAGGGGGGAUAGAAAAGGUGGGCAGCACUCGAGGUGCUGACUUUGGGCCUCCACACACACGUGUGCCCAUGCUUAAACACACACAAACACAAAAAAGCCCGGGGUGGGCGUUUCAAGCACCCUUCUAUUCACAGGUGGAGCACAGAAGCUUUCUCUCACCAUGCCCAGGGGAGAGUCAUUGCUUGUAGAAUCCAGACAGGUAAUGUUCAGGGGCAGUGUACUACCCCCGCCUCCACCAGCUCCUGAGGUUUGCCCUCCGAAGAGUCAUCAAGGUACCAUGACAUGCUGGGGUGCCCUGUCCUCUGUGGGAGCAGGUGCCUGCUCUGUAGAUGUUAGGGAGGUGAGAGUGAUAACUGGUGUAGACCUUGAGGAGGAAGGAGGGGAUCCUUAGGGACCCCAGCCCUGGGAGAAUUAUGGAGUGUGACUUUCAGUGCACCUGCUUCGAAUGACCCCGGGUGAUUUGACUUCUGGCGUUUAAGUUUGUCAUAUGAGAAAAUCUAGUUCCUUGCUAGGCUUUGCUGCUGGGCACAGGAACACAGACUCAACGGGCCUUCCGAAGUGACUCCCUCAUCUUGGGGCAAGGACAGUUUCUGGGCUUUGGGAACCUAGGAUUCUUUUCCUCAGACAGGGACCAUGGAGGGUUAAAGUCUCAACUCAGGCACGGCUUUGCUCCAGCUCCUGAUGCUAACAUCCCAGAGGCUCAGGGCUAGAAUUAAGAUCUGCUUCCAACCUUGUAAAUAUUCUGUGGUUGAAAUGGCAUCUUUGCUCUUGGAAGUUUCUCAGUGAAAGUACACACCUUCACGGAGGCCUCUGACCAGCUUUCCUAGAGAUGUGCUGCCCUGAAUCCAAAAGGC